rnacentral:rRNA from 1 species
UAAUACGUAGGCAGCAAACGUUGUUCGGAAUUACUGGGCGUAAAGAGUGUGUAGGCGGUUCUGCAAGUUUGGUGUGAAAUCUCCCGGCUUAACUGGGAGGGUGCGCCGAAAACUGCAAGGCUAGAGUACUGGAGAGGAAAGCGGAAUUCCUGGUGUAGCGGUGAAAUGCGUAGAUAUCAGGAGGAACACCGGUGGUGUAGACGGCUUUCUGGACAGUCACUGACGCUGAGACACGAAAGCGUGGGGAGCAAACAGG